UUAAUUUCAGUUUUUUGUUUACUGAAUUAUUGCACUUUAAAAUGUGAAACAUUUCUUUAAAUAAUCUGUGUUUAUAAUUAAAUUCUAAACAAAUAAUAUUAGUAUUUUCAAAAUUAAAAAUAUGAUCAUUUCAUGAGAAUGUGUAACUAGUGCUGUGUUUCUUUUAUCGAUUCCGCAGUCACUUUUAUGUUAUGUAAUUAUAUUUUUAAUAUAUUGAAUAGUCUGUCCAAUAUAGGAAGCCCCACAUUGACAAGGUAGCGCGAAACAUAUAAUCCUAAUUAUUCUGAGGAAGAUAUAAGAUAUAAAAGGAGAUGGUUCGAAAUGGCUUGCUGAAAUAACAACUAGAUUGGGAAGAGGAGGAGAUGACCAAAAAGAAGGUGAAAAUGAGGACGAUACAAAUGAAAUUGACGGAAAUGUGAAUGACGAGAAUCAAGUUGAUGCCGACGAUGAAAAGGAUUAGAUAAUUGAUUUACACAGUUUAAAUUUAAUUCUUUUAAUAUUCAAUCUUAUUAACA